GGUUAAGUUAGAAAGGGCGCACGGUGGAUGCCUUGGCACUAGGAGCCGAUGAAGGACGGGACGAACACCGAUAUGCUUCGGGGAGCUGUAAGCAAGCUUUGAUCCGGAGAUUUCCGAAUGGGGAAACCCACCACUCGUAAUGGAGUGGUAUCCAUAUCUGAAUACAUAGGAUAUGAGAAGGCAGACCCGGGGAACUGAAACAUCUAAGUACCCGGAGGAAGAGAAAGCAAAUGCGAUUUCCUGAGUAGCGGCGAGCGAAACGGGACCAGCCCAAACCAAGAGGCUUGCCUCUUGGGGUUGUAGGACACUCUGUACGGAGUUACAAAGGAACGAGGUAGAUGAAGAGGUCUGGAAAGGCCCGCCAUAGGAGGUAACAGCCCUGUAGUCAAAACUUCGUUCUCUCCUGAGUGGAUCCUGAGUACGGCGGAACACGUGAAAUUCCGUCGGAAUCCGGGAGGACCAUCUCCCAAGGCUAAAUACUCCCUAGUGACCGAUAGUGAACCAGUACCGUGAGGGAAAGGUGAAAAGCACCCCGGAAGGGGAGUGAAAGAGAUCCUGAAACCGUGUGCCUACAAGUAGUCAGAGCCCGUUAACGGGUGAUGGCGUGCCUUUUGUAGAAUGAACCGGCGAGUUACGAUCCCGUGCAAGGUUAAGCAGAAGAUGCGGAGCCGCAGCGAAAGCGAGUCUGAAUAGGGCGAAUUGAGUACGUGGUCGUAGACCCGAAACCAGGUGAUCUACCCAUGUCCAGGGUGAAGUUCAGGUAACACUGAAUGGAGGCCCGAACCCACGCACGUUGAAAAGUGCGGGGAUGAGGUGUGGGUAGGGGUGAAAUGCCAAUCGAACCUGGAGAUAGCUGGUUCUCUCCGAAAUAGCUUUAGGGCUAGCCUCAAGGUAAGAGUCUCGGAGGUAGAGCACUGAUUGGACUAGGGGCCCCUACCGGGUUACCGAAUUCAGUCAAACUCCGAAUGCCGAUGACUUAUCCUUGGGAGUCAGACUGCGAGUGAUAAGAUCCGUAGUCGAAAGGGAAACAGCCCAGACCGCCAGCUAAGGUCCCAAAGUAUACGUUAAGUGGAAAAGGAUGUGGAGUUGCUUAGACAACCAGGAUGUUGGCUUAGAAGCAGCCACCAUUUAAAGAGUGCGUAAUAGCUCACUGGUCGAGUGACUCUGCGCCGAAAAUGUACCGGGGCUAAACGUAUCACCGAAGCUGCGGACUGUUCUUCGAACAGUGGUAGGAGAGCGUUCUAAGGGCUGUGAAGCAAGACCGGAAGGACUUGUGGAGCGCUUAGAAGUGAGAAUGCCGGUAUGAGUAGCGAAAGAGGGGUGAGAAUCCCCUCCACCGAAUGCCUAAGGUUUCCUGAGGAAGGCUCGUCCGCUCAGGGUUAGUCGGGACCUAAGCCGAGGCCGAAAGGCGUAGGCGAUGGAUAACAGGUUGAUAUUCCUGUACCACCUCCUCACCAUUUGAGCAAUGGGGGACGCAGGAGGAUAGGGUAAGCGCGGUAUUGGAUAUCCGCGUCCAAGCAGUUAGGCUGGGAAAUAGGCAAAUCCGUUUCCCGUGAAGGCUGAGCUGUGAUGGCGAGCGAAUUAUAGUAGCGAAGUUCCUGAUUCCACACUGCCAAGAAAAGCCUCUAGCGAGGUGAGAGGUGCCCGUACCGCAAACCGACACAGGUAGGCGAGGAGAGAAUCCUAAGGUGAUCGAGAGAACUCUCGUUAAGGAACUCGGCAAAAUGACCCCGUAACUUCGGGAGAAGGGGUGCUCUGUUAGGGUGCAAGCCCGAGAGAGCCGCAGUGAAUAGGCCCAGGCGACUGUUUAGCAAAAACACAGGUCUCUGCGAAGCCGUAAGGCGAAGUAUAGGGGCUGACGCCUGCCCGGUGCUGGAAGGUUAAGAGGAGCGCUUAGCGUAAGCGAAGGUGCGAAUUGAAGCCCCAGUAAACGGCGGCCGUAACUAUAACGGUCCUAAGGUAGCGAAAUUCCUUGUCGGGUAAGUUCCGACCCGCACGAAAGGCGCAACGAUCUGGGCACUGUCUCAACGAGAGACUCGGUGAAAUUAUAGUACCUGUGAAGAUGCAGGUUACCCGCGACAGGACGGAAAGACCCCGUGGAGCUUUACUGCAGCCUGAUAUUGAAUGUUGGUACAGCUUGUACAGGAUAGGUAGGAGCCUUGGAAACCGGAGCGCCAGCUUCGGUGGAGGCAUCGGUGGGAUACUACCCUGGCUGUAUUGACCUUCUAACCCGCCGCCCUUAUCGGGCGGGGAGACAGUGUCAGGUGGGCAGUUUGACUGGGGCGGUCGCCUCCUAAAAGGUAACGGAGGCGCCCAAAGGUUCCCUCAGAAUGGUUGGAAAUCAUUCGCAGAGUGUAAAGGCACAAGGGAGCUUGACUGCGAGACCUACAAGUCGAGCAGGGACGAAAGUCGGGCUUAGUGAUCCGGUGGUUCCGCAUGGAAGGGCCAUCGCUCAACGGAUAAAAGCUACCCCGGGGAUAACAGGCUUAUCUCCCCCAAGAGUCCACAUCGACGGGGAGGUUUGGCACCUCGAUGUCGGCUCAUCGCAUCCUGGGGCUGUAGUCGGUCCCAAGGGUUGGGCUGUUCGCCCAUUAAAGCGGUACGCGAGCUGGGUUCAGAACGUCGUGAGACAGUUCGGUCCCUAUCCGUCGCGGGCGCAGGAAAUUUGAGAGGAGCUGUCCUUAGUACGAGAGGACCGGGAUGGACGCACCGCUGGUGUACCAGUUGUUCUGCCAAGGGCAUCGCUGGGUAGCUAUGUGCGGACGGGAUAAGUGCUGAAAGCAUCUAAGCAUGAAGCCCCCUCAAGAUGAGAUUUCCCAUUCCGCAAGGAAGUAAGAUCCCUGAAAGAUGAUCAGGUUGAUAGGUCUGAGGUGGAAGUGUGGCGACACAUGGAGCUGACAGAUACUAAUCGAUCGAGGACUUAACCAA
rnacentral:rRNA from 1 species